rnacentral:rRNA from 1 species
CCCGCUGAACUUAAGCAUAUCAAUAAGCGGAGGAAAAGAAACCAACAGGGAUUGCCUUAGUAACUGCGAGUGAAGCGGCAAAAGCUCAAAUUUGAAAUCUGGCGUCUUUGGCGUCCGAAUUGUAAUUUGGAGAGGCAUCUUCGGUGAUGGCGCUGUCCUAAGUUCCUUGGAACAGGAUGACAUAGAGGGUGAGAUCCCCGUGCCUGGGUGGCUGUCCAUCUCCAUGUGAAGUGUCUUCGACGAGUCGAGUUGUUUGGGAAUGCAGCUCAAAAUGGGUGGUAAAUUUCAUCUAAAGCUAAAUAUUGGCGAGAGACCGAUAGCGCACAAGUAGAGUGAUCGAAAGAUGAAAAGCACUUUGAAAAGAGAGUUAAAAAGUACGUGAAAUUGUUGAAAGGGAAGCGCUUGAGACCAGACUCGAUUUGUGGUGAUCAGCUGUGCUUCUGUACAGUGCACUUGCCACAGAUUGGGCCAGCAUCGGUUCUGACGGUGGGAUAAAAGGGUGAGGAAUGUGGCUUCCUUCGGGGAGUGUUAUAGCUUCGCUCACAAUGCCACCAGUUGGGACCGAGGACCGCGCUUCGGCUAGGAUGCUGGCGUAAUGGUCUUAAGCGACCCGUCUUGAAACACGG